rnacentral:rRNA from 1 species
UAGGGAAUCUUCCACAAUGGACGCAAGUCUGAUGGAGCAACGCCGCGUGAGUGAAGAAGGUUUUCGGAUCGUAAAGCUCUGUUGUUGGUGAAGAAGGAUAGAGGCAGUAACUGGUCUUUAUUUGACGGUAAUCAACCAGAAAGUCACGGCUAACUACGUGCCAGCAGCCGCGGUAAUACGUAGGUGGCAAGCGUUGUCCGGAUUUAUUGGGCGUAAAGCGAGCGCAGGCGGAAUGAUAAGUCUGAUGUGAAAGCCCACGGCCCAACCGUGGGACUGCAUCGGAAACUGUCAUUCUUGAGUGCAGAGGAGGAGAGUGGAAUUCCAUGUGUAGCGGUGGAAUGCGUAGAUAUAUGGAAGAACACCAGUGGCGAAGGCGGCUCUCUGGUCUGCAACUGACGGUGAGGCUCGAAAGCAUGGGUGGCGAACAGG